GAUUUAUUAGUUAAGUUGGUUAGAACGUCAUCUUGAUAACUUAAAGAUUCGAAUCCUAUAUGAAUCA
rfam:Glycine max cultivar Williams 82 chromosome 20, whole genome shotgun sequence.